UACGGUCACCUCACUUUGGAACACCAGUUCCCGUACGAUCAGCGAAGUUAAGGAACGUCGAACCUGGUCAGUAUCUAUAUGGGCGACCGCUUGGGAAUACCAGCUG